UACGAAGGGGGCUAGCGUUGCUCGGAAUUACUGGGCGUAAAGCGCACGUAGGCGGUUUCUUAAGUCGGGGGUGAAAUCCUGGAGCUCAACUCCAGAACUGCCUUUGAUACUGAAGAUCUUGAGUUCGGGAGAGGUGAGUGGAACUGCGAGUGUAGAGGUGAAAUUCGUAGAUAUUCGCAAGAACACCAGUGGCGAAGGCGGCUUACUGGUCCGGUUCUGACGCUGAGGCGCGAAAGCGUGGGGAGCAAACAGG
rnacentral:rRNA from 1 species